ensembl:lncRNA ARRDC1-AS1 ARRDC1 antisense RNA 1
GGCGCCCCAGGCGCCGGGCCUGCGGCGGCCGGAACCGGAACGCGCGCCCGCGGGGUAGGAGACCUGGAGCUGGAGAACCCGCCCGCCAGAGUCGUAGUAGUGGAUGGGGAGUAGCCGUCCCAUUUUCAACACAUGUCUCAUUCUAAAUUGACGUUUUGGUGGGCUGGCCGAAGAAGGAGAAAGACCCGCGGCUCCGACCUCUGACCUCUAACCCCGGACGCACUUUGAUUUCGCCGGCUUGCGCGGAAGGCUGACUCCCUGGGCCGCGGCCUGGCGCGGGAGCCGCCUGUGGGGUGUCCCCGGCGCGGGAGGGUGCUCUGGUUCAGGCCCGCUGCCCAGGUAUGCACAAGUCAAGGCCUUUUCUGCAGACCAAGUAGCCUUCCCUGGAGAGCGCCCCCAGCACCACGGAAACUACCUACAUGCCCCGCGGUGGUCAGCCCGCCUUAUCCCAGCCCCGAGACCCAAAACAAGAAGCAUGGACUGAAUUUGAGGUUUCUGGAUGGUCGUGUGAACCGAGGGGACGGGUACUGGACUGACAAGAAAUGAGCCUUGAAGGUCAAUCUGGGUGACACCCGAGUCUCCUGGUGAGUCGGACUCCGGAGAAUUAUCUCAAGUCCAGCAUAGACAGCGCACAUAGACAGAAAAGGAAACGGACAAUCCCAAGUGCCAAGGGAACCUUCCCAGGUUUCUUUAGGGCAGCUAAACUGCUCUGUCAAAGCCUAAGUCCAUUUAUGACAGGCCGAGCACCCUGAGCCCUCGCAGGAGACACGAGCGCCUUCAUGGCCCUCCUGCCCCGCACCCACCUCUCCGCCACCCCUGCUGUCUGUCCCUUCCCUGAAACCUUUAUUUCGAGUGUCUUUGUGGCUUCCCUCUUUACCAUCCUUGAGUUGAAAUAUCACCUCUUAAGGGAAGCCUUCCCUCUCCUCCCUAGUUAAAAUGAUACUGCCCCCCCAUACCUGUCUUCGUUGACUUACUUGGCUCCAUCACAGUGUGUGUCAUGUGACUCUCCCACAUCCUGAUUUGGAAUAUUGUCUCCCUACUAGAAUGUAAGUCCAUGGUGCCUAGAACAAUACCUGGUGUACAGGAGACAAAAUAUUUGUUGACUGGGCCGGGUGCGGUGGCUCACGCCUGUAAUCCCAGCACUUUGGGAGGCCGAGGUGGGCAGAUCAUGAGGUCAGGAGAUGGAGACCAGCCUGGCUAACAUGGUGAAACCCCAUCUCUACUAAAAAUACAAAAAAUAGCCGGGAGUGGUGCUGGGCGCCUGUAGUCCCAGCUACUCGGGAGGCUGAGGCAGGAGAAUGGCAUGAACCCGGGAGGCAGAGCUUGCAAUGAGCUGAGAUUGUGCCACUGCACUCCAGCCUGGGCAACAGAGCAAGACUCUGUCUCAACAACAACAACAAAAAAAUUGUUGACUGAAUAAAGGGAGUUAGAAUGUGAAGAAAAAUCCUUCACCAAGCAAACAUCCACCCUAAGUGAAGGUGUGGGAAGCAGCUGCAGGCAGCUUUUUCACUCCAUUUUUCCAUCAGCUGCUACCCUUGUGUGCCCCUCAGCACUUAUGUCAAGAUGCUGCUCUCAGCACGUGACAUGCUAACACUGCAGACUUCAGGUCAGUCCUGAGAGGCAGGCACUGUUCUUACCCACAUUUUAUAAGUGACUGAACUGAAGCAAGGGAGUGGUGAGAGGCAGUGAUGGGAUUCAGCCCAGGAGGCCUUCCUUUCAACCAUAUACUGCACUGCUUCCAGGAGGCGCUUCACAGAUGACCCCACCUGUGGUACACUUUCUGCUGUUCUCCAAUAUUCAUGCUGCCUGUCCCACAAUUAGUAAAAUUUUAGCCAAGUACAGGACUGCCUGGCUAAAGACCACAUUUCCAACAGGAAGGGGACAGGUCAGAGACAAAAAGUGACAAUCCAUUUCCCAGUCUGUCCCUCAAAAGUCCCACCAUUAGGCUGGGCAGUGGUGAAAGCUGUCAACAGCCAUCUGGGAGCCAGGGAUGGGAACCACUAUGUAGGAAUGACAACUCUGCCACAAGGCCAGGAUCUGCCCCCUCUGGACUGUUCAAGAAAUAAACUGUCAUGCUAUGAGGGUGGGGGGCUGUACCCUACAGUCCCACGAGUUUUUUGUGGGGUUUUGUUUUUUUAUUUUUUGAGGCAGUCUUGCUCUGUCACCCAGGCCGGAGUACAGUGGCACAAUCUCAGAUCACUGUAACCUCUGCCACCUGGGUUCAAGCGAUUCUCCUGCCUCAGCCUCCUGAGUAAUUGGGAUUACAAGCAUGUGCCAUGAUGCCCAGC